UGAUAAAUUUAUAGGAUGGCACCCUUGCU
rnacentral:piRNA from 1 species